rnacentral:rRNA from 1 species
GAUGAACGCUGGCGGCGUGCCUAAUACAUGCAAGUCGAGCGAACAGACGAGGAGCUUGCUCCUCUGACGUUAGCGGCGGACGGGUGAGUAACACGUGGAUAACCUACCUAUAAGACUGGGAUAACUUCGGGAAACCGGAGCUAAUACCGGAUAAUAUAUUGAACCGCAUGGUUCAAUAGUGAAAGACGGUUUUGCUGUCACUUAUAGAUGGAUCCGCGCCGCAUUAGCUAGUUGGUAAGGUAACGGCUUACCAAGGCAACGAUGCGUAGCCGACCUGAGAGGGUGAACGGCCACACUGGAACUGAGACACGGUCCAGACUCCUACGGGAGGCAGCAGUAGGAAAUCUUCCGCAAUGGGCGAAAGCCUGACGGAGCAACGCCGCGUGAGUGAUGAAGGUCUUCGGAUCGUAAAACUCUGUUAUUAGGGAAGAACAAAUGUGUAAGUAACUAUGCACGUCGUGACGGUACCUAAUCAGAAAGCCACGGCUAACUACGUG